GAUGAACGCUGGCGGCGUGCCUAAUACAUGCAAGUCGAGCGAACGGAUGAGGAGCUUGCUCCUCUGACGUUAGCGGCGGACGGGUGAGUAACACGUGGAUAACCUACCUAUAAGACUGGGAUAACUUCGGGAAACCGGAGCUAAUACCGGAUAAUAUUUUGAACCGCAUGGUUCAAUAGUGAAAGACGGUUUUGCUGUCACUUAUAGAUGGAUCCGCGCUGCAUUAGCUAGUUGGUAAGGUAACGGCUUACCAAGGCAACGAUGCAUAGCCGACCUGAGAGGGUGAUCGGCCACACUGGAACUGAGACACGGUCCAGACUCCUACGGGAGGCAGCAGUAGGGAAUCUUCCGCAAUGGGCGAAAGCCUGACGGAGCAACGCCGCGUGAGUGAUGAAGGUCUUCGGAUCGUAAAACUCUGUUAUUAGGGAAGAACAAAUGUGUAAGUAACUGUGCACGUCUUGACGGUACCUAAUCAGAAAGCCACGGCUAACUACGUG
rnacentral:rRNA from 1 species